rnacentral:rRNA from 1 species
UACGGGGGGGGCAAGCGUUGUUCGGAAUUACUGGGCGUAAAGGGCUCGUAGGUGGCCAACUAAGUCAGACGUGAAAUCCCUCGGCUUAACCGGGGAACUGCGUCUGAUACUGGAUGGCUUGAGUUUGGGAGAGGGACGCGGAAUUCCAGGUGUAGCGGUGAAAUGCGUAGAUAUCAGGAAGAACACCCGUGGCGAAGGCGGCUCUCUGGUACGUGACUGACGCUGAGACGCGAAAGCGUGGGGAGCAAACAGG